CGAUGUUGUUCAUAAUAUUAAUUUAAGUGAGCUCAUGAGCCAGCAUGCACAGGACACUGAAGCAUCUAAAUGGAAUUCUGCCAUCAUUAAUUUGAUAAUUUACGCUUGUGCUUUUCCUGUCAAAAUGUCCUCUGUGAAAUGGGCCUAUUGUAUGUGAAUUGCACAUUAAAUCGGAACGUUUAAUACAACCUGAGUGAGGGUUUUUCUUCUGUCUGUUCCUGGCAGGUAUGAGAGAACCUGUACAAGUCCUCAGAGUCUCUACAGCCGAGAUCCUCCAAACCACCGCUCUCUGCAGAGCGAGAUGCAGGAUAUGCAGCAGCAGCAUCACAGAGCUCUGGACGACAUAAGCCUCUCAUCAUUGCACACACACAGUGAUGAUAUUCAGAGCAUCAUCCACGCGAUCAAGUCUGCAGAAAUUGCUCAUCUUCUGCACAAUAAGUAUCCUGAGAGGGUGAGGAGAGAGUCAACAGAGGACGAUAAUUAUGACAUGCGGUAACAUGUAUGCGUAUAAAUCUAUUUUGUGUCUUCUCUCACACGCAGGACUCUGCUCCUGUAGAAACACAGGAGCAGCCUUGUCCUCACCGCCAGCAGCAACAGGCAACCAUCAAGCAGCAGCUUGUCAAUGUGCUGCAGGAGCUGGAGCUGCACAAGUGUGUGUGGGAGGAGAAAGGGGAAAAGGUGGAGGAGCGGUGGAGAGCCUGGGAGAAGGAGCAAAAGCAGAGCCAGACUGAUAACCAGGCUCAGAUGCAGGACGCCAAGAAGGUGGCUGUGGUGAACUGGUGGAAAGCCCGCAGCGUGGAGAGGGCUAAGGCCCGGACAAAUGACACUCAGCCGGGUCAGAAGAUCUCUGAGACACAAGUAAAGCUCCAGCAAGCAGAGCAGACGAUCAGUGAUAUGAGGGAGCAGGUCUGCCUCCUGCAAGCUUCUGUAAGAUCUGCACAGAAGUUUGUCACUGAGCAAAAGAACAGCAAUCUUCAUAUCGACAAGGGAACCAACACUGAGAGAGAAGAAGCAGGCAGAGUUGUGGAGAAGGUUGUGAAGGAUCAGAGGGAUGCAGCAGUGGCCACAGAGAUUACAGGUGAAGCCGUCGCAGAGCAGGAGCAAACCCAGUUUCGGGUGACCACAGACGGCCUCCUUGAGACGCUCAGAAGGAUGGAGGCGAUGGUCAACAGCGCCCGGACAAAAGACACUCAGCCGGGUCAGAAGAUCUCUGAGACACAAGUGAAGCUCCAGCAAGCAGAGCAGACGAUCAGUGAUAUGAGGGAGCAGGUCUGCCUCCUGCAAGCUUCUGUAAGAUCUGCACAGAAGUUUGUCACUGAGCAAAAGAACAGCAAUCUUCAUAUCGACAAGGGAACCAACACUGAGAGAGAAGAAGCAGGCAGAGUUGUGGAGAAGGUUGAGAAGGAUCAGAGGGAUGCAGCAGUGGCCACAGAGAUUACAGGUGAAGCUGCCGCAGAGCAGGAGCAAACCCAGUUUCGGGUGACCACAGACGGCCUCCUUGAGACGCUCAGAAGGAUGGAAGGCGAUGGUCAACAGCGCCCUGGAAAACGCAGAGCUGGUGAGAGAGAGCGAGCAGAGAGUGAGCCAGGUGAGAGUGAGGAUGGAGAGCAUCACCCAGAGGGUGGAGGAGGCUCUGGAGCGAGCAGCUGACACUGACGAGCAGCUGAACAAUCUGGAGGACAGGAUCCCAGGAAAAGAUCCAACUCAGGUUUGUCUGUGUUAAAUAUCUGUGUUUACUUUUCAAGAGAGUCACAGUCAAAGUCAGUUGUAGUUUUUAAUUAUCUU
ensembl:lncRNA